rnacentral:rRNA from 1 species
CAUCCAAGGAAGGCAGCAGGCGCGCAAAUUACCCAAUCCCAAUACGGGGAGGUAGUGACAAUAAAUACUGAUACGGGGCUCUUUCGGGUCUCGUAAUUGGAAUGAGUACAAUCUAAAUCCCUUAACGAGGAACAAUUGGAGGGCAAGUCUGGUGCCAGCAGCCGCGGUAAUUCCAGCUCCAAUAGCGUAUAUUAAAGUUGUUGCCGUUAAAAAGCUCGUAGUUGAACCUUGGACCUGGCUGAUCUGUCCUCCUAAUCGAGCGCACGGAUUCGGUCGGGUCUUUCCUUCUGGGGAGCCCUAUGCCCUUCACUGGGUGUAGUGGGGAACCAGGACUUUUACCUUGAAAAAAUUAGAGUGUUCAAAGCAGGCCUUUGCUCGAAUACAUUAGCAUGGAAUAAUAGAAUAGGACAUCGGUUCUAUUUUGUUGGUUUCUAGGACCGCUGUAAUGAUUAAUAGGGAUAGUCGGGGGCGUCAGUAUUCAAUUGUCAGAGGUGAAAUUCUUGGAUUUAUUGAAGACUAACUACUGCGAAAGCAUUCGCCAAGGAUGUUUUCAUUAAUCAGUGAACGAAAGUUAGGGGAUCGAAGACGAUCAGAUACCGUCGUAGUCUUAACCAUAAACUAUGCCGACUAGGGAUCGGACGGUGGUUUUUUUAUGCCCCGUUCGGCACCUUACGAGAAA